GUUCGGAUAGACAUUAAUUUUGAAGACAGUGAUUUUUGAAUUGUGAUAUUCCAUCUUUUCGAUGCUGACUGUAGUUUCAUACUCCUUUAUACCGCUUGAUGCCCAGUGUGAAGCAUAUUUUGUAGCCAUUUUCAUACAAGAGACUAUUUUCAAUGGUUUUCCCCUGUUUCAAUGCUAUCAUAUGUACUGUAUAAAUAAUUAUGUGUGGCAUCAAAUUGUUGAAAUAUUUUAUUUGUCUUUCUUGUACAAACAGAAAACCUUGUGGAGAAUCUA
rnacentral:misc_RNA from 1 species